GCCUACGGGAGGCAGCACGUGGGGAAUAUUGCACAAUGGGCGCAAGCCUAGAUGCAGCGAUGCCGCGUGAAGGAUAGAAGGUCUUCGGAUUGUAAACUUCUGUUAAGUGGGAAGAAAGACGGUGUGCUAAUACCACAUUGGGAUGACGNACCAGCUAGAGAAAGCUCCGCACCU
rnacentral:rRNA from 1 species